GCGUCGCGUCACGCCGCCUCACGACCACCGUGGGGUCUCGGCGGAUUGCAACAGCGACUGCGCUGGAUUUACACCGACACGGCGGACAGCGCCUCCCUGGUCCGUUCAGUCGCAAGGACGUCGUUCGGUUGCACGGACGGCGAGAGAUGCAGCUGGAUGGGGCACGGAAGCGAGCAGCAACGUGGAGCAGUAACAGAUCGUGGCUGCGGGCGACGCGGCCGACACGCCGUCGUCCUGUCUUCCGUGAGCGGAUCCAGCGUGCGGAACCAGCGGACGCGCGAUGCGGGCGCUCGAUCCUCGGGAUGCGGCGUGGAGUCUCCGGCGCUCUCGCUGCUCCCGGCCACACCAGCGCCUCCGCGCGGGAUGCGACGGAGUCUCCGGUGCUCUCCCUGCUCGCUGCUCUGUCGCUUCGCCCAUCGUGCAGCUGCCCCGCGCUCCACUCCCUCCAACAGCGCGUAGCACUACCCUCUCCUAUAAACGCUCUGCCACCUCCUUGCCUACCCUCCUCCAUUGGCCACAAGCGCCUCCCCCCCUGUCAUUUUCCUGGCAUGUCCACACACCUAAGCCCUUCCACGCUUCACGCCCACGGUGCCGGAGACACGCUAACCUGUGUACAUAUUUUGCUCUCGGUUCUAAGCUAUCCAAGGCAAUGGACUUUUUCCGACCAUGUUUCAGAAAGAAGCAGGCGGUGGCAGAGAUUGGCAUUUGCCGGUGGCGACAACGAGGAGGAGGCAACUUCAAUGAUGACGUAUGGUAGCUGCGGCGGCGGUGUGUGUGUGGGGAAUGAGGCCACGACGACGGAUCCAACAUGAUAAGUUCCUUCUCAGCCCCUCCCUUGUCUGCUAGCACCACCGCACCCUUCUCCCUUGUAGGUUCCCCUUGCUUCUAUAGGUCAACUGGUUUUCUCUGGUCCUGUUGAUUGAUUUGGUUAGCUUUAGCUAGCUCUGUUCAUGCCAUUAAUACCGAGUGAGACUCUUACCAGUGGUGAUAUGUUUAUUUGAUUUAGCAGGGCUUGGUGAUGAUGGCCUUCUUCAGGAUGCGUCAACCUCUGAUGUUGAUGGUCAAGAAGGCAACGACCACAUGACAACAAUGCGAACAAGUGAACCAGAGGCUCCUAUUGCGGACGCUACAAGAAUGGCUUUACUUUUGGAGAGGAGAUGGGCAUGGAUGAUCUUAAUGAUUUUUGAGACAUGGUAAAUCCCAACCCAUCUCUUGCCUUUGUCGUUCCUGAUCUGGCAACCUCUUUAAUUAAAUCCCAACCCAAUACUACUUGGUUUGGUGGUUAUUUGCUAUUUAUAAUUAAAUUCUGUCAACGUGGUCUCUCUCUUCUACAUGGAUUCCAUUUCCUUUUUUUAUUAAUGAAAAGAAAAAGGGGGUACCGUAAAGAAAAGCUCCUGGACCAGCAUUUGUAUUUUUUUUCCUUCUUAUGAAGUACAUUGGAAUGUCAUUAUUUGUAUUGUCAGUUGUGCCAGUGGAGACUUGAAAAUAUAUGAAUAUAUUUGUCCUCUCUUUCUUUAAGGUUGUCUGUUGCAGAAUAUGUGAUAAUGGAGGUUUGCAUUCAUGGAGCUAUCUUAUUUAUUAGUGUACUUUAGACUGUUGUCAGUUUAUUGAAUGGUGAUAGCAUUUUCAGUUACACAAGGAGCACUUCAGCCUUGCAGAUGCAGGACUAAGAUGCUACUAUUUUUCUGCCAGAACUAUGCCAUGUAACUAAGAUACAUUUUUUUGUCAUUUUACUGAAAAGUAUAUAACUGGUGUCGCUGAUGUAUCAUAUAGUAGUG